rnacentral:rRNA from 1 species
UACAGAGGGUGCAAGCGUUAAUCGGAAUUACUGGGCGUAAGCGUGCGCAGAUGGUUGCGUAAGUCAGAUGUGAAAGCCCCGGGCUCAACCUGGGAAUUGCAUUUGAGACUGCGUAGCUAGGGUGCGGAAGGAGGGAAGCGGAAUUUCCGGUGUAGCGGUGAAAUGCGUAGAUAUCGGAAGGAACACCAGUGGCGAAAGCGGCUUCC